ACUUGGAGACUUUAUUAAGACAUUUUAUUACAUAAGAAAAGGGAGCAGCAACUAAUUUUCCAUGGAAUACAACGUAUUUUGAGGAAGAAAAAUGAGCAGCAACGUUAGCUUGUUCCAAACCAAAACAGCAACGUUAUGCAAUUUAAUUACAGGUUUUGCUCGCCGCUUCGAUCUCGUUGUUCCGUUUCGAUGCGUUGUUGAAUUCGGGCUUUCUUCGAAGUGAAGUAAGCUGGAAGAAGAUUAAUUCUUGGCAUAUGAGAUAAAGUCUUAAAAAGGGGCUGGUCCGUCAUAAUUGUUUCGAGGGUCGUAAAUCAAGGUACAGAUGCUCACGUUGGUAACCCGCCAGCUUAGAAGUCCUAUUCAGCUAUCUUGGAGAGCUCCCUUGUUCCGGAGUCUAGAUUUUGGUACAAAAUCUCUUGUGGUGUAUAUGUAUUUUAUCCAGGGGUACGGCGGGGCCCUAUCCCGUCAUAUGAUACUGUUGUUACUCUUAGAGGUCUGUAGAUAUAUGUGUGGGUUAUGUAUCGAUGUUGUUCAGUUGUGUCUAUAUGGCUUAUGUUUUGGGACGUUCCCAUUCGUAGUGGCAGCCUUGUCGGCUUGCGUAGAUAUACAUAUAUGUUUUGAGAAGUAAUGUGUUAUGAUAGCCUUGUCGGCUCGUUUAUGGCGGGGAUGUUCCCUUAUAUACUAUGAAAGCCUUGUCGGCUUAUGUACUAUAAUGUCUGUUGAAAGUUGUACCUCCCCAGGAGACAGGUUGUUGUGAUACGUCUAAAUAAUGCGACAGCUUUGAGA